ACACUCCUACGGGAGGCAGCAGUGGGGAAUUUUGGACAAUGGGCGAAAGCCUGAUCCAGCCAUGCCGCGUGCAGGAUGAAGGCCUUCGGGUUGUAAACUGCUUUUGUACGGAACGAAACGGCCUUUUCUAAUAAAGAGGGCUAAUGACGGUACCGUAAGAAUAAGCACUGGCUAACUACGUGCCAGCAGCCGCGGUAAUACGUAGGGUGCAAGCGUUAAUCGGAAUUACUGGGCGUAAAGCGUGCGCAGGCGGUUAUGUAAGACAGUUGUGAAAUCCCCGGGCUCAACCUGGGAACUGCAUCUGUGACUGCAUAGCUAGAGUACGGUAGAGGGGGAUGGAAUUCCGCGUGUAGCAGUGAAAUGCGUAGAUAUGCGGAGGAACACCGAUGGCGAAGGCAAUCCCCUGGACCUGUACUGACGCUCAUGCACGAAAGCGUGGGGAGCAAACAGGAUUAGAAACCCUGGUAGUCCC
rnacentral:rRNA from 1 species